rnacentral:rRNA from 1 species
GUGCCAGCAGCCGCGGUNAUACNGGAGUGGCAAGCGUUAUCCGGAAUUAUUGGGCGUAAAGCGUCCGCAGGUGGCCCUGUAAGUCUGUCGUUAAAGCGUGGAGCUUAACUCCAUUUGAGCGAUGGAAACUACAGGGCUAGAGUGUGGUAGGGGCAGAGGGAAUUCCCGGUGUAGCGGUGAAAUGCGUAGAUAUCGGGAAGAACACCAGUGGCGAAGGCGCUCUGCUGGGCCAUCACUGACACUCAUGGACGAAAGCCAGGGGAGCGAAAGGGAUUAGAUACCCCUGUAGUCCUGGCCGUAAACGAUGAACACUAGGUGUCGGGGGAAUCGACCCCCUCGGUGUCGUAGCCAACGCGUUAAGUGUUCCGCCUGGGGAGUACGCACGCAAGUGUGAAACUCAAAGGAAUUGACGGGGGCCCCGCACAAGCGGUGGAGUAUGUGGUUUAAUUCGAUGCAACGCGAAGAACCUUACCAGGGUUUGACAUCCUGCGAACCUCUGAGAAAUCGGGGGGUGCCUUUCGGGAGCGCAGAGACAGGUGGUGCAUGGCUGUCGUCAGCUCGUGUCGUGAGAUGUUGGGUUAAGUCCCGCAACGAGCGCAACCCACGUCUUUAAGUUGCCAGCAUUGAGUUGGGCCCUCUAGAAAGACCGCCGGUGAUAAACCGGAAGGAAGGUGUGGGAUGACGUCAAGGUCUUCAUGCCCCUUACAUCCUGGGCUACACACGUACUACAAUGCUACGGACAAAGGGCAGCAAGCUCGUGAGAGUAAGCAAAUCCCAUAAACCGUGGCUCAGUUCAGAUCGUAGGCUGCAACUCGCCUACG